AGGGUUUGAUCAUGGCUCAGGACGAACGCUGGCGGCGUGCCUAAUACAUGCAAGUCGAGCGAUGAUUGAAGAUAGCUUGCUAUUUUCAUGAAGAGCGGCGAACGGGUGAGUAACGCGUGGGAAAUCUGCCGAGUAGCGGGGGACAACGUUUGGAAACGAACGCUAAUACCGCAUAACAAUGAGAAUCGCAUGAUUCUUAUUUGAAAGAAGCAAUUGCUUCACUACUUGAUGAUCCCGCGUUGUAUUAGCUAGUUGGUAGUGUAAAGGACUACCAAGGCGAUGAUACAUAGCCGACCUGAGAGGGUGAUCGGCCACACUGGGACUGAGACACGGCCCAGACUCCCUACGGGAAGGCAGCAGUAGGGAAUCUUCCGGCAAUGGGGGCAACCCUGACCGAGCAACGCCGCGUGAGUGAAGAAAGUUUUCGGAUCGUAAAACUCUGUUGUUAGAAGAAAACGUUAAGUAGAGUGGAAAAUUACUUAAGUGACGGUAUCUAACCAGAAAGGGACGGCUAACUACGUGCCAGCAGCCGCGGUAAUACGUAGGUCCCAAGCGUUGUCCGGAUUUAUUGGGCGUAAAGCGAGCGCAGGUGGUUUCUUAAGUCUGAUGUAAAAGGCAGUGGCUCAACCAUUGUGUGCAUUGGAAACUGGGAGACUUGAGUGCAGGAGAGGAGAGUGGAAUUCCAUGUGUAGCGGUGAAAUGCGUAGAUAUAUGGAGGAACACCGGAGGCGAAAGCGGCUCUCUGGCCUGUAACUGACACUGAGGCUCGAAAGCGUGGGGAGCAAACAGGAUUAGAUACCCUGGUAGUCCACGCCGUAAACGAUGAGUGCUAGCUGUAAGGAGCUAUAAGUUCUCUGUAGCGCAGCUAACGCAUUAAGCACUCCGCCUGGGGAGUUACGACCCCCCAAGGUUUAAAAACUUCAAAAGGAAUUGGACGGGGGCCCCCCACCAAGGCGGUGGAAGCCAUGUGGUUAAAUUCGAAAGCAACGCGAAGACCCUUACCCAGGUCUUGACAUACUCGUGCUAUCUUUAGAGGAUAAAGGAGUUCCUUCGGGACACGGGAUACAGGUGGUGCAUGGUUGUCGUCAGCUCGUGUCGUGAGAUGUUGGGUUAAGUCCCGCAACGAGCGCAACCCUUAUUACUAGUUGCCAUCAUUAAGUUGGGCACUCUAGUGAGACUGCCGGUGAUAAACCGGAGGAAGGUGGGGAUGACGUCAAAUCAUCAUGCCCCUUAUGACCUGGGCUACACACGUGCUACAAUGGAUGGUACAACGAGUCGCCAACCCGCGAGGGUGCGCUAAUCUCUUAAAACCAUUCUCAGUUCGGAUUGCAGGCUGCAACUCGCCUGCAUGAAGUCGGAAUCGCUAGUAAUCGCGGAUCAGCACGCCGCGGUGAAUACGUUCCCGGGCCUUGUACACACCGCCCGUCACACCACGGAAGUUGGGAGUACCCAAAGUAGGUUGCCUAACCGCAAGGAGGGCGCUUCCUAAGGUAAGACCGAUGACUGGGGUGAAGUCGUAACAAGGUAACC
rnacentral:rRNA from 1 species